rnacentral:sRNA from 1 species
ACCUUUGGCGAGAGCUGCGAACAGCAGUGCCCUCACUGCCGACAUGGGGAGGCCUGUGAGCCGGAUACUGGCCACUGUCAGCGCUGUGACCCUGGCUGGCUGGGGCCCAGGGGUCCUGUGAUACUGUGACAGGGGACUGUGUCUGCAGUGCCGGCUACUGGGGGCCCAGCUGCAACGCCUCCUGCCCAGCCGGUUUCCAUGGAAACAACUGCUCAGUUCCUUGUGAAUGCCCAGAGGGACUCUGCCACCCUGUCUCUGGGUCCUGCCAGCCAGGCUCUGGCAGUCGGGACACUGCCCUCAUCGUGGGCAGCCUUGUGCCUCUGCUGCUGCUCUUCCUGGGCCUUGCCUGCUGUGCCUGCUGCUGCUGGGCCCCCCGAUCAGACCUCAAGGACAGGUGAACGCCAGCCCGUCCCUUCCCCACACAGCUCAGGCCACGGGGUGGGAGCAGGGGGGCGUCUGGUUUCCUUGUGGGGUGGGGAGGGCUGGCCUUGUCGCCCACGUGGGUCAGAGGUGAUGGGGGUGGGGAGGGCUGGCCUUGUCGCCCACGUGGGUCAGAGGUGAUGGGGGUGGGGAGGGCUGGCCUUGCCGCCCCUGUGGGUCAGAGGUGAUGGGGGUAGUUGGCAGUGGCCGUGGCCUGGAGACACUGGAGACACCGGGUCAGCUGCCUGCCCUCCUCGGAAGCCUUCAAUGAGGAAGUUUCUGAGUUGCAUGGGCACCAGGCUGGCGAACCGGAGCCUGCAGCGGGAGGCAGAGAGCUGACACCGGCGGGGACCAGAGGAGGAGGGCUGGGACCACGGAAGGAGCAGUCCGGCUCUGGGCCAGGAGGGAAAGAGACCAGGCCUCAGAUGGCCCACGAAGGAAGGCGACAUCAAUGUGUGUGCAGUGGUUUAGCAGAGAGUGUAGCUGCCUGAGAGACGGAGAGGGGAGGAAGGGUUGGGCUGGUGGGGCCCGCGCAGGGGGCUUACGCAGAGCUUUGUUCCUUUAUGAAACCUCGUCACAUUCCAGGAUCCUUUGAGACUCACAGCAGCGUGGAGGUUUGGAACAGGGAGUGCGGGGCCGG